UACGUAGGUGGCAAGCGUUGUCCGGAAUUACUGGGCGUAAAGCGUGCGCAGGCGGUUUUGUAAGUCUGACGUGAAAUCCCCGGGCUUAACCUGGGAAUUGCGUUGGAGACUGCAAGGCUGGAGUCUGGCAGAGGGGGGUAGAAUUCCACGUGUAGCAGUGAAAUGCGUAGAGAUGUGGAGGAACACCGAUGGCGAAGGCAGCCCCCUGGGUCAAGACUGACGCUCAUGCACGAAAGCGUGGGGAGCAAACAGG
rnacentral:rRNA from 1 species